AUUGAAGACCAAAUCAGUAGAGAAGGAAACGCCAAAGAAGAAAGGGGACAAGGAGGAGAAAGAUAAGAAGAAGAAGAAGAAGAAGGAUGAUGAUGAAGAUGACAAGAAGAAAGAUAAAAAAAAGGACAAGAAGAAGAAGGAGGAGGAGGGAAAAGGUGGCAAGGAUAGUUUAGGUGGAGAGUUGGAUAAUGAAGCUGGAGAGACUAAUAAAAAGGAAGAGAAAGAAGAUAAGCAAGACAAUGGAAAACAAGAAAAGAAAAAGAAGAAGGAAAAACAUGUAAAUGAGGUGAAGGAGAAAGAUGAGAAAAAGAAGAAAGAGAAGAAGGACAAAGAUAAU
rnacentral:misc_RNA from 1 species